AGUGAACGCUCGCGGUAGGCCUAACACAUGCAAGUCGAACGGCAGCACAGUAAGAGCUUGCUCUUACGGGUGGCGAGUGGCGGACGGGUGAGGAAUACAUCGGAAUCUACUUUUUCGUGGGGGAUAACGUAGGGAAACUUACGCUAAUACCGCAUACGACCUACGGGUGAAAGCAGGGGAUCUUCGGACCUUGCGCGAUUGAAUGAGCCGAUGUCGGAUUAGCUAGUUGGCGGGGUAAAGGCCCACCAAGUCGACGAUCCGUAGCUGGUCUGAGAGGAUGGUCGGCCACACUGGAACGGAGACACGGUCCAGGCUCCUACGGGAGGCAGCAGUGUGGAAUAUUGGACAAUGGGCGCAAGCCUGAUCCAGCCAUACCGCGUGGGUGAAGAAGGCCUUCGGGUUGUAAAGCCCUUUUGUUGGGAAAGAAAAGCAGCAGGUUAAUACCCCGCUGUUCUGACGGUACCCAAAGAAUAAGCACCGGCUAACUUCGUG
rnacentral:rRNA from 1 species